GCCUAAAGCGUCCGUAGCCGGCUUUGUAAGUUUUCGGUUAAAUCUAUAUGCUCAACAUAUAGGCUGCCGGAAAUACUGUAAAGCUAGGGAGUGGGAGAGGUAGACGGUACUCCGUAGGAAGGGGUAAAAUCCUUUGAUCUAUGGAUGACCACCUGUGGCGAAGGCGGUCUACCAGAACACGUCCGACGGUGAGGGAUGAAAGCUGGGGGAGCAAACCGGAUUAGAUACCCGGGUAGUCCCAGCUGUAAACUAUGCAAACUCAGUGAUGCAUUGGCUUGUGGCCAGUGCAGUGCCGCAGAGAAGUCGUUAAGUUUGCCGCCUGGGAAGUACGUACGCAAGUAUGAAACUUAAAGGAAUUGGCGGGGGAGCACCACAAGGGGUGAAGCCUGCGGUUCAAUUGGAGUCAACGCCAGAAAUCUUACCCGGAGAGACAGCAGGAUGAAGGUCAAGCUGAAGACUUUACCAGACAAGCUGAGAAGUGGUGCAUGGCCGUCGCCAGCUCGUGCCGUGAGGUGUCCUGUUAAGUCAGGUAACGAGCGAGAUCCUUGCCUCUAGUUGCCACCAUUACUCUCAGGAGUAGUGGGGCGAAUUAGCGGGACUGCCGUAGUUAAUACGGAGGAAGGAGAGGGCCACGGCAGGUCAGUAUGCCCCGAA
rnacentral:rRNA from 1 species